UACGAGGGGGGCGAGCGUUGUUCGGAAUUAUUGGGCGUAAAGGGCGCGUAGGCGGUGUGGCAAGUCAGGUGUGAAACCUCCAGGCUUAACUUGGAGCUUGCAUCUGAAACUGCCGUGCUAGAGUGCGGGAGAGGAGAGUGGAAUUCCUGGUGUAGCGGUGAAAUGCGUAGAUAUCAGGAGGAGCACCGGUGGCGAAGGCGGCUCUCUGGACCGCAACUGACGCUGAGGCGCGAAAGCUAGGGGAGCAAACAGG
rnacentral:rRNA from 1 species